AGUGAACGCUGGCGGUAGGCCUAACACAUGCAAGUCGAACGGCAGCACAGUAAGAGCUUGCUCUUACGGGUGGCGAGUGGCGGACGGGUGAGGAAUACAUCGGAAUCUACUUUUUCGUGGGGGAUAACGUAGGGAAACUUACGCUAAUACCGCAUACGACCUACGGGUGAAAGCAGGGGAUCUUCGGACCUUGCGCGAUUGAAUGAGCCGAUGUCGGAUUAGCUAGUUGGCGGGGUAAAGGCCCACCAAGGCGACGAUCCGUAGCUGGUCUGAGAGGAUGGUCGGCCACACUGGAACUGGACCACGGUCCAGACUCCUACGGGAGGCAGCAGUGGGGAAUGUUGGACAAUGGGCGCAAGCCUGGUCCAGCCAUACCGCGUGGGUGGAGAAAGCCUUCGGGUUGUGAAGCCCUUUUGUUGGGAGAGAAAAGCAGCAGGUUAAUACCCCGCUGUUCUGACGGUACCCAAAGAAUAAGCACCGGCUAACUUCGUG
rnacentral:rRNA from 1 species